rnacentral:lncRNA from 1 species
AUUUUUGUAUUUUUAUCUAUCGAAGAUCACCUAAAUGUUCUUUUCACUUACCAUAGGUAUGCAUUGCACAAUCAUGGGCACAAUAAUAGUUCAGAAGAAAGAAAAGACCACCCAGAAAUGCUGAUGAAAAUGAAAUAAGGCCUGAAAGGAAAAAAUUCAGAGUCACUUUUAUUAGAAGAGCUCACAGGAGAAGGGGAUGAGAUCUCCCUGCCCUCUUCAAUCACCACUGGAGAGGAAAAAGCUCCCAGAAAACAGGUGUCAGGAGCACUGAACUCCACCCUUGUUCAGUCACUGGUGUCUUUGUGCAGCACUUUCCCAAUGCUCCUGGAGCUGGCACCUUCCUGCACUAGAGUUUGUCUUCUGCUGCCUCACUGUCCGGUGCUGCAUCACUGUUCUGUGCUGUGAGUAUCCAGCCCAUGGUGACUGCUGUACACACCCAACCUUCCUUCUCUUAGAGACUUCAG